CCUACGGGUGGCAGCAGUGAGGAAUAUUGGUCAAUGGGCGCGAGCCUGAACCAGCCAAGUGGCGUGAGGGAAGACGGCCCUACGGGUUGUAAACCUCUUUUGCCGGGGAGCAACGGGCGCCACGUGUGGCGCCACUGAGAGUACCCGGAGAAAAAGCAUCGGCUAACUCCGUGCCAGCAGCCGCGGUAAUACGGAGGCUGCGAGCGUUAUCCGGAUCAAUGGGGUUUAAAGGGUGCGUAGGCGGCGCGUUAAGUCAGUGGUCAAAUUGAGGGGCUCAACCCCUUCCCGCCAUUGAAACUGGCACUCUUGAGUGGAAGAGAGGUAGGCGGAAUGCGUGGUGUAGCGGUGAAAUGCAUAGAUAUCACGCAGAACCCCGAUUGCGAAGGCAGCAUGCCGGCUUCCUACUGACGCUGAGGCACGAAGGCGUGGGGAUCGAACAGGAUUAGAUACCCUUGUAGUC
rnacentral:rRNA from 1 species